CAAUAUUAAAGAAUCUCUCAUCUUCUUUAAAUCUCCUACUGACCUACAAACCUUACAACAAAUUGCAUAUAUUAAAAAGACUACCCAGGUAGUAGAAUCAUAAACAGAGAAAUUACAAGGUAUUAUCAUAUAAUUACCUUGUUCAAUAACGGCUUGCUUCUUUCUCGAUCUGUUCGGAUCCAAAGAGGCAAUGUACUGAGGAUAAUUCUUCUUCUAGUGUCCAUACUUCUUAUAGUAGAAGCAUUUUGCCUAACUUUGGUCAGACUUGAGUUUCUUGGUCUGACUGGGUGCAGAUGCCCCAGCACGCUGCUGCACCAUCU
rnacentral:lncRNA from 1 species